UUUUGGAGUGCAGAUGUCUUGUUGCCAGAUCCCUCAGUUUUCUAAGAGAGGACAUCAAAACCCCACAUUUUUAAUGUCAACUCUACCAGUGUUUGAAUACUGGUAAUGCAUUUAGCAUUUCUUAACAGGUGUCUACCCAGUGUACAGCAAACUAUUUCUGUAGGCUGCCCGCAGUUGACAUCCUCCAUUCUGACCCUCGCCAAGCAUUUCAGAAAAGGUAGACAGGCCUGCAGAGAAAGCAGAUGGCUCAUCGCACAUCACACAGAACCAGACAGAGGACGAGAGUCCGCAUGCUGAACCACUUAAAUUCACAUGGCGGCUAAGAAGACAAGAGUUUCGGCAGGCAUAGAGGCUAAGAGAGUUAAGAGCAUCCUCCGUGCCUAGUACAGUCCCCAGCUGCAUCAUAAACAGAUGAAAUGAAAAAGUUUUUUCUCCCAAUCAAGCCAGCAGGAGAGCAAGGGUCUGUGGUACCUGGGGACAAUGCACCAUGCUUACACCCUCUCUAGCCACAUGUAUGCUACUGCGGAAUUGGCAAAGACAGAGUGCAACCCUUUUUAGUCAUCAACCUGGGGGAGAGAUCUCUUCUGCACAUAAAAGUAUCCCCACAGCAUUGUGAUCACACUGGAGAAAGUGGACGGGAUAAAGAGAAGGAAGGACGUUUUGUUGAGUGCCUUCUAUGUGCUGUUCGCUCUGCUGAGCUUCAAGUUUCUCAAAUAUAAAUGGGGGAGAGGCUGGGCGCGGUGGCUUACGCCUGUAAUUCCAGAACUUUUGGAGGCCAAGGCGAGCAGA
rnacentral:lncRNA from 1 species